rnacentral:misc_RNA from 1 species
AAGACUAUAGACCUGCGGAGUACCUGCGGAAGGAUCAUUACCGAGUUUACAACUCCCAAACCCAUGUGAACAUACCUAUCGUUGCUUCGGCGGGAUCGCCCCGGGCGCCUUGUGUGCCCCGGAUCCAGGCACCCGCCGGGGGACCUUAACUCUUGUUUUAUUUAGAAUCUUCUGAGUAGUUUUUACAAAUAAAUAAAAACUUUCAACAACGGAUCUCU